ACCUGCCCAUUGGAAUCUAAAAGGCCGCGGUAUUAUGACCGUGCUAAGGUAGCAUAAUCAUUAGUCUUUUAAUUGAAGGCUGGUAUGAAUGGUUGGACAAGAAAUAAGCUGUCUUAAAUAAAAAUAUUGAAUUUAACUUUUAAGUGAAAAGGCUUAAAUUUUCUAAGGGGACGAUAAGACCCUAUAAAACUUUAUAUUUUAAAAUAAUAAUUAAUUUUAUAUAGAGGAUUUAUUUUUAAAUAUUUUAUUGGGGUGAUAAAGAUAAAAUGUAAGAUAACUGUCUUUUUUUUUUUACAAGUGAUAUUUGAGUAAAAGAUCUUAAAAAAGGAAAUAAGAGAUUAAGUUACUUUAGGGAUAACAGCGUAAUUUUCUUUAAGAGUUCUUAUCGACAAGAAAGUUUGCGACCUCGAUGUUGAAUUAAAAGUUCUUUAUAGAGUAGAUAUUAUAAUAGAGGGUCUGUUCGACCCUUAAAAUUUUACGUG
rnacentral:rRNA from 1 species